AAACCCUCACAAAUAAGCUGAUAUCAAGAAUUAACAGUGAUGGUGAUGAUGGAAAGGCCUUCAUAAGGUGCCCUCCAGCAACCCCAGCCUGGAGCCAGAGGCUGGUACUGCACAUCAGAUGGGGUAUGAUCUGUGCUAGGCAUCAGAAAGGUGGUCUACGCAAGAAGGCAAGAGCUUCUGCAGACAGUGUUGCAAUUAGACACCUGACCUUUACUGCCAAAGGGAUCCCCAUCAGAGCACCUCUGCCUACCCUGCAGGACAUCUAUACCAGAAGAGUACGGACAAG